GAUGAAGAACGCAGCGAAAUGCGAUAAGUAAUGUGAAUUGCAGAAUUCAGUGAAUCAUCGAAUCUUUGAACGCACAUUGCGCCCGCCAGUAUUCUGGCGGGCAUGCCUGUUCGAGCGUCAUUUCAACCAUCAAGCCCCCGGCUUGUGUUGGGGACCUGCGGCUGCCGCAGGCCCUGAAAUGCAGUGGCGGGCUCGCUGUCACUCCGAGCGUAGUAGUUACAUCUCGCUCUGGGCGUGCUGCGGGUUCCGGCCGUUAAAAGCCUUAUUUACCCAAGGGUGACCUCGGAUCAGGUAGGAAGACCCGCUGAACUUAAGCAUAUCAAUAAGCGGAGGA
rnacentral:misc_RNA from 1 species